GACGAACGCUGGCGGCGUGCUUAACACAUGCAAGUCGAACGGAAAGGCCCUGCUUUUGUGGGGUGCUCGAGUGGCGAACGGGUGAGUAACACGUGAGUAACCUGCCCUUGACUUUGGGAUAACUUCAGGAAACUGGGGCUAAUACCGGAUAGGAGCUCCUGCUGCAUGGUGGGGGUUGGAAAGUUUCGGCGGUUGGGGAUGGACUCGCGGCUUAUCAGCUUGUUGGUGGGGUAGUGGCUUACCAAGGCUUUGACGGGUAGCCGGCCUGAGAGGGUGACCGGCCACAUUGGGACUAGGAUACGGCCCAGACUCCUACGGGAGGCAGCAGUGGGGAAUAUUGCACAAUGGGCGGAAGCCUGAUGCAGAAACGCCGCGUGCGGGAUGACGGCCUUCGGGUUGUAAACCGCUUUCGCCUGUGACGAAGCGUGAGUGACGGUAAUGGGUAAAGAAGCACCGGCUACUACGUG
rnacentral:rRNA from 1 species